rnacentral:rRNA from 1 species
GACGAGGGGUCCAAGCGUUGUUCGGAAUUAUUGGGCGUAAAGCGGGUGUAGGUGGCUCUAUAAGUCAGGAGUGAAAUCCCCAAGCUUAACUUGGGAAGUGCUUUUGAUACUGCAGAGCUUGAAUGUGGGAGAGGAUAAUAGAAUUCCAGGUGUAGUGGUGAAAUACGUAGAUAUCUGGAGGAACACCGGUGGCGAAGGCGGCUACCUGGACAGAAACUGACGCUGAGGCACGAAAGCUAGGGGAGCAAACAGG